rnacentral:lncRNA from 10 species
AAGAGCUGUACCCCCGCUCUGGGGGGUUUAUCAUCAGAAGGAGAGAGACCCGAGGGAGCCACCUGCCCACUCCAGAUGAGGUGCUCCGUGGAACACGAGGAGCACACGAAACCCGAUCAGCUUUGUGUGACUUCCGCGUGUGGGGUGGCACGCGUGUGCUUGCUAUUCAUUGUUUCUGCUGGGGGCAUUUUUAUCUUUUGAAAUUCUUUCUUCUGAACCUUUCGUGCCUACCAGAACCAGCCUGUCAGGAUGCGCCUGAUCUCCACAGCAGCCCCUCCAUCCGACUCUGAAGAAGCCGUCAGCUCACAGAAGAUUCCUUUUGUUUAAUGAGUAACAGCUACUGACUCACUCCAUGGCCCACCAGAAUGACAGACUCCUGUUCAAAAGCCUGAUCUGAAGUUGCUGCCAUGACACAAGCAAUGCCUGUGAAGUGCCUGCAGCCCACGCCUCUGAGACAGGCCAGGCGUGUGGUGGACACGCAGCUGCAGGCGCUUGCUCUCUGUCAUCACGAGAAAAAGUAUCCCUGCACCGGACAAGAAAGGACCUGCAGGCACACUCACAAUCAACUUCCUGAUUUCACAAUGAUGGUAGGGAGCCCUGUGGGCACUAGAAGCAGCGGGGAGGGGUUCUAGACCUUUGGUGCCCAAGAGACUUCCGUGCAUGGAAAAUGUUGACUUCUAGCUUCCAUCUGCAGCGAACUCUCCAUCGGGACAUGGGACCUGGCUGUACGAGUUAAUUCAAACUGAGCCACUUUCCAUUAGGGCACCAAAUGGAGUUAGCAAUCCAAGAUUAUUUUAUUUUCUGGGCUAUCCAGAUGACUUAAAGCCUCGCUGAAGUUCCCAUGAGAAGAGUUUAAACAACCCAAAGAAAGCACGUAAGAAAGGAAUAACAACAACAAAACCCAGAAAGAAUGAAUAGGAAACAAAUGCAGUGGUUCCCCUUACCUGUGGCGAAGACGUUCCAAGACCCCCAGUGGAUAGUACCAAGCCCUAGAUAUAUGAUAUUUUUUCUGUAUACACACACACCUAUAAUGAAGCUUAAUUUAUAAGUUGGGAACAGUAAGAAAUUAGCAACAGUAACUAAUAUAACAAUAUACAAUAA